rnacentral:lncRNA from 1 species
AUCUUGGGAAUUUGUUGAAACAUCUCCCUCCUCUCUGUUCAACUGAUCUACCAGUGGGUCACUCAAAUAAAAUGUUCCUUAUCUAUGCUGUUGUGCUGCACUAAGAGAUGAAGGUGGUACAACCAUGCCAUCAGAAAUGUCCUGCUGGAUUGCCCUUAAUAGCCCUGACUUCCAUGAAUCAAUCCGAAUCUCUUCUGAAACCAUCCAAGCUGGUGGACAAAGCCACAUCUCAUGGUAAAUUCCAAAAUAUAACUUUGUGUUGUAUAUUUAUAAAAAAUCUGUUUGUCCUGAUUCCUCCAGAAUUCAGCUUGAGAGAGUCUGAAAUGAAAACCAGAACAGAAGGAGGAAAGCGGAGGGGAAAGAAAGCUUUUCCUGCUGGAUUAUGGAAGAAAUGUUAUCCACGCGGAAAUGUGGGGCAUUUGAGAAAGAUGUGUCCACAGCAGAAAUCUAAGUGUGAACAGAGUUAG